CCCCAUCCUGGUCAGUGUGAGGUACCUACACCCUCAGACCCCCCCAUCCUGGUCAGUGUGAGGUACCUACACCCUCAGACCCCCCCAUCCUGGUCAGUGUGAGGUACCUACACCCUCAGACCCCCCCAUCCUGGUCAGUGUGAGGUACCUACACCCUCAGACCCCCCC